GACGAACGCUGGCGGCGUGCUUAACACAUGCAAGUCGAACGAAGUGGCGAACGGUGGCGUACUACGUGGGUACACUUCCCUCAUUUUUCGGAUAAGCCUUGGAAACGGGGUCUAAUACCUACUAAAGGUGGAUGGGCUGGCGGCCUAUCAGCUUGUUGGGGGGGUGAUGGCCUACGAAGGCGGUGACGGGUAACCGGCCGGUGAGGGGGACCGGCCACAUUGGGACUGAGAGACGCCUCAGACUCCCACGGGAGGCGGAUGUUGGGGAUAUGGCAAAAUGGGGGAAAGCCUGAUGCAGGUACGCCGCGUGGGGGAUGAAGGCUUACGGCUUGUAAACCUCGUUCGAUAUCGAACGGGUAUGUGGAGAAGAAGCGCCGGCUAACUACGUGCCAGCAGCCGCGGUAAUAC
rnacentral:rRNA from 1 species